AGAGCGAACGCUGGCGGCAGGCCUAAUACAUGCAAGUCGAGCGGUCCCUUCGGGGGCAGCGGCGGACGGGUGAGUAACGCGUGGGAACGUGCCCUUUGGUACGGAACAACUGAGGGAAACUUCAGCUAAUACCGUAUGUGCCCUUCGGGGGAAAGAUUUAUCGCCAUUGGAGCGGCCCGCGUCGGAUUAGGUAGUUGGUGAGGUAAAGGCUCACCAAGCCUACGAUCCAUAGCUGGUCUGAGAGGAUGACUCACGCCAUACGG
rnacentral:rRNA from 1 species